rnacentral:rRNA from 1 species
GAUGAACGCUGACAGCAUGCUUAACACAUGCAAGUCUACUUGAACUUCGGUUUGGGUGGCGGACGGGUGAGUAACGCGUAAAGAACUUGCCUCACAGAUAGGGACAACAUUUGGAAACGAAUGCUAAUACCUGAUAUUAUGAUUUUAGGGCAUCCUAGAAUUAUGAAAGCUAUAUGCACUGUGAGAGAGCUUUGCGUCCCAUUAGCUAGUUGGAGAGGUAACGGCUCACCAAGGCGAUGAUGGGUAGCCGGCCUGAGAGGGUGAUCGGCCACAAGGGGACUGAGACACGGCCCUUACUCCUACGGGAGGCAGCAGUGGGGAAUAUUGGACAAUGGGCCAAGAGUCUGAUCCAGCAAUUCUGUGUGCACGAUGAAGUUUUUCGGAAUGUAAAGUGCUUUCAGUUGGGAAGAAAAAAAUGACGGUACCAACAGAAGAAGUGACGGCUAAAUACGUG